GGUUUGGCAGAAUUUAAUGCGCCUGAUUUAGGAUCAGCUCAUAAUAUAUUUAUAUUAACC
rnacentral:tRNA from 1 species